ACUCUUGCUAGUUAGAUUGAAAACAAUAGAAUAUAAUUUAACAUCCAUUAUACUGCAAAAGAGUGAGGGAACGCCCAUGACGACAAUUCGAUUCGUCUCGGAAUUAGUACUAUAUUUAGAUCGAGGUCUCCCGGACAUGCAGGUUGUUUAGCAAGUAAAGCUACAAUUGAUUAUGCGUAGUAGCAUUUCAUGACGAAAGCUUUCUAACACUGCACCCUCCCUGAAAAAGGGAUUCGGACCCCGAAUACAGAGCGAACAGAUAUACAAGUAGCAAACACAUUUGGGAGUCCCAGUCUGGCAUAUUUACUUGAACAAUACAAGGGUGCCAAAACCUCACAAAGACUGAUUAAAAGAGAAUUUAGACCGGGUGGGUCUCACACGUCUGUCCAGGGAUUCUCAACAUAAAUGGCGGAUGCAGUUGGUGUAAAGGACCAAAGCAAGAAACCAAUGGUGUGCAAGUAAAGCCUACGUCUCCACCCCGCCCCGUUAAAAGGAGUAAAGUUAUGUUAAGGAAUGUAAUUUUAAAGGGAUCAGGAUCAUAAGGUUUACUCUGUGAGGAUCAUGGGUUCCGCAGCAGAGACAGUAGGUUUUCCGAUGGCAAGGUCAAUGGGCAAGUUCAUCUCCCGGCCGAACAUCAUCAUAGAUGGAGUGAAACCUGUGCUUGAGUGUAUGCUGGAGUUGUAAGCCAGUACCAGUAAAGGCAGGAGCUGUAUAAUAAGUUCAAGUGCAGUCCGGAGUCUGGAGGAAGCUUAAUUAACAUAAAGGUCCUUAAGUUCAGUGGAAACCAGCCACAGAAUCUCGUGGAGCUAAUCCAUUCACAUUAGCUAGCGUUAUGAAUAGAUGGCCAAUCUUUACAUAACAAGGACUGCACAUUGAAUUUUAAAUGAAUGUACGAAUAAAAGCAAAGUACUGUGGUGUUUGUUGUCACUACGAAAACAAUAUAGGUAUUAUGGUUCAUAGCGAUCAUAUACGGAAACCUGGACAAUUCUUGUAAUAAUCGACCAAGAUGAUACUGUGACGUCAUAUAUUUACAUACGUCAUAUAUUAAGUGACGAAAUCGUUAUAUUAUCUUAAAGUGUAGUUAUUGAAAAUGAUAUAUGAAAAUUGUGUCUGAAGUAGACGACUGUCGAAAUAAUUCGACUUUGUUUUAAAUCCUGUGAUUAAUAUUAUUAGAAUUAUCAUGUGGAAUAAUUGGAUCAAUAAACGCAUUCUCUAUUGAAAAGCAUGUGUUAUCUCUGGCAACGAGGACGCAACUUCUUAAAAUGGUAACUGGUUUAUUGUUAAAGGUAGUGUUCUAAAGCAUCCGGAUCAGACUAACUUUUAAGGUUUGUCAUAUUACAUUUAUUAUAUUUAAUGGAUCGUCCGGAGCAAUAAUGUAUUUCUCCGUAUUAAAUUUUUGCUCCGGUCAGAAGAGUAUUGAUGAAUUCAUUGAUCCGGAUCGGGACCUGCUCCAGACAGCGUUUGCUAUGACGUCAUAAUUUACCAUCCGGAGUGAACUGAUAUACGUCAUCAUGUACAUUCAUACGGAGCUAUCCGGCGAAGUCUAAACAUUUGUUGAGUUUUAUGAACAAUAUAUUUUUAGUAAAUCGGGAGCGGGGAAUCUGCAUUAAACUG